rnacentral:misc_RNA from 1 species
AGUCGUAACAAGGUAUCCGUAGGUGAACCUGCGGAUGGAUCAUUAUAGGUUAUUUUGAAUGUUGUGUGAACAGUGUGGUUGCGGUUGUGGUGGGUGUGAUAUAUUAUAUGGUAUGUGGUAUAUAAUAUGAUAUAAUAUAUAAUAUAAUAUCAUCCACCUUGACAACAUUGACGUACAUUAGUGCUGAAUACAUUAUAUAUUGAAAUAUAAACAACUUUCAGCAAUGGAUCUCUUGGCUCUC